rfam:Tetranychus urticae London genomic scaffold, scaffold_17
AAGAUCAUACUUCAAAGGAUCAUUUCUAGAGUAUGAUUGGGACGUUUCGUUAACAAAACGAAGUCCAACUCAGCCACGAUGAGGAGUUAAGGGGCUUUUUCCUGAGCGGGAAACGGAGUGUCUAGAAUUGACUUGUUCAGACCUAGCACUCAUUGAUGACCGUUCUUGACCGGUUUAAUUACCGGUUAGGAGGGAAUUAGCUCGAUCUGAGUGGU